GACGCACUGAGAAGAAGGUUGGUGUGAACUAGGAAGACAGCUCUCACCUACACCAGAUCUGCUGGCACCUUAAUCUUAGACUUCCAGCCUCCAGAAAUGUUAUAAAAACCCAUGGCAAACACAAGAGGCCCCAAAGGAAUGUGUGUUGUAUCUUCUGGAAACAUUAUUGCUCCUGUGAGAUCUUUGCCUCUGGAACAGUAACUGGGAGAAGGGCUGCACACAGAGGCCAUUCAGAGCUCCAUUUCAAGAAGCGAUUGCAUCUUUGAUCCAAUAAUCCUCUACAACCAGGAUUUGGCAAUCCUUCUCAAAAUAUGUUUUUCAAACGGUGCUUACAACCAUCCUUUUC